AGAAGACCUGCCCGCUAGACUUUAACUUCAAGCAGCAUAAAGAAUUGCCACUCAACAUCGUCAUGCAAUGUAACCUGAAGUUGCAAAAAGUAUUUCAUAAUAAUUUCUAUGCAUGGUAAGUGUCACGGAACAAAGAUUACAUAUAUAUANNNNNNNNNNNNNNNNNNNNUUUUGUUUUUUUUAAAGGAGCUAUGUGGACGACCGUCAUAAUUUUAGCUUUAGUGGCUGAAGAUAAUUUGAAACAAUGAUCUUGCCAUAUCGUUGCAUUGUACUACAGUAACUGAAACAAGCUAAAGCUACUUUAGAAAGCUUUGGUGCUAGGUGCCGCACCAAAGCUUUCAAAAAUCGGCCAUAAUUAUUGAGCGGGUAAAUAAUCUCCGCUAUUCAGAGAACAUUAUUGUAUGGACGACGUAUGGAAGCCAACAGAACUAAUGGUGCUUCGUAAUAAGACCGUUUGAGGAUGUAAUUUCUACCAUGCACUUGUUUAGCUUCAUAGCAUCCUCUCGUCCAAUAUGUUAUGCACAGACACAAUCUUGUGAUAUUCUGCACAUUUUCCAUUAUUUUUAUUGAUUAGGAACAUGCCUAAUUUGUCACACUACCUAAGCGUAGCAACUUUUUCAAAUUUGAUGGCCUUGUUUAGUCUGCCAUUAAUUCUGUUGUACGCAAAUCUCUGAAACCCAAGUUUAUUUUGUCUUAGUAAAGGUGUGGGUAUUGACAAAAUAGCGAUUCAUCUACCGCCGACGAACUCAGAGGUAGAUGUUCGUGGUAGAUAAUCUGGUCUGGGUAUAUGGGCGAAAGACAAAUCGAACCGCCUAGUAGCUGGUUCCUUCCGAAGUUUCCCUCAGGAUAGCUAGCGUACCCGUUUAGUUUCAUCCCGUAAACCGAAUGAUUAGAGGUACUGGGGCGUAUAUAGCCUCAUCCUAUUCUCAAACUUUUAAUGGGUGUGAAUGUUGUUUCUCUGUUGAAGAACAAUGCUGUAUGCUUAGUGGGCCAUUUUUGGUAAGCAGAACUGGCGCUGUGGGUCGUACGAAUUGUUGGGUUAAAAUGCCAAAAGCUGAAAUGCGCAUGUGAUCUACACACGGUGUUAGUUGCUGAAAGCAGAAGGACGGUGGCCGUGCAAGUCGGAAUCCGCCAGCGAGUCUGUAACAACUCAUCUGCCAAAGCAACUAACCCCAAAAAUGGACGGCGCUAUAGCAUUGUACGUAUACUCAACUUCUGACGUGUGACGCACCGGAGCGCUCAAGGAGUAGGAAGGUAAUGUGAUAGCGUCGAAGGAUGUUACUGUGAAGCAAUCUGGAGCUGUCACAUGUGCAGAUCAUGGUGCUAGUAGCAAGUACUCAAUGGAAAACCUUGAGCACUGAAGUUAGGGAUGGAUUCUAGAUGAACGGUAGUUGACCGUGGGUCAGUCGGUCCUAAGCUUAUAAUGAAACAUGUGUUGAAUGUGUACAAUAAUGUUUUAUCACUAUAAGCGAAAGGGAAUCAGGCUAAUAUUCCUGAACCUGUACACUGGGAGCACUACCUAGGUAUCAACCGUGGCAACACAAUUAUGCUCAAAAACACCAAGGGAUAAGCUAGGAAGAGCGGUCUCUUCUGUUUCGGUCACUGGUACCCAUGGAAUGAUAUAAAUUUGAGAUAAAGCUACGCAUAUUAGAGUAGUUUACUUGAUUCCCUUGGUCGCUGAAAAUUUGAGCGUGGUGAUUAUCUUGGUGGCAGUCCGUACUAAUGUCCGCAGGAGGUCUCCAAGGCGCGAAGCCUUUAGUGUCUAGAUUAAUAGAGGUUAAGGAAAGUCGGCAAAAUAGUACUGUAACUUUGGGAGAAGCGAUGGCUCUGAAGAUUUAUCCAGUCAGAUUAACAGUAGAAGUACUUAUGACAUUGUGUUGUCGCCGGAUGGACUUCGUGUCUGUCUGGAUGAUGACCGAAGUUGUGUUUAUGGACAUUGUUAGCUGUUUCGGUUUAUGUUGAUGUGAGUGCAAAUUAUCAACUACUUCAGAAUUGGCACGAACUGAGGGAAUCCGACUCUCUAAUUAAAACAAAGCAUUGUGAAGUCCAGUAAUUGGUUAUUAUAAAAUGUGAUUUCUGCCCAGUGUUCUGAAUGUCAAGGCGAAGAGUGUGAAGCGCGUGUAAACGGCGGGGGUAACUAUGACUCUCUUAUGGUAGCCAAAUGCCUCGUCACCUAAUUAGUGCCGCGCAUUAAUGGAUUAAGGACAUUCCCACUGUUCCUAUCUACUCUCUAAGGGAACGGGCUUUGAUUGAACGGCGGGAAAAGAAGAUCCUGUUGAGCUUAACUCUAGUCUGACUCUGGAGAGACAGGAGGUGUAGCAUAAGUGGGACGUUCAAUGAAAUACCACUACUACCGUUUCUUUACUUACUCAAUGAAGUAAAUACGGUCAUUCCAUGUUUUAGAAAAAAGCAUAGUAAUUUGUGUCAUUUAUAUUGAGGACAUAGUCAGGUGGGGAAUUUGACUAGGGCGGUACAUCUGUCAAAAAAUAACGCAGGUGUCCUAAGGCCAGCUCAGAGAACAGAAAUUUCGCAUAGAACAAAAGGGCAAAUGUCGGCUUGAUCUUAGCUUUCAAUACAAGUGUAGACGGUGAAAGCGUGGCCCCUCGAUCCUUUUGUUUUUAAGAAUUUUAAGCAAGAGAAAAGUUACCACAGGGAUAACUGGCUUGUGGCGGCCAAGCGUUCAUAGCGACGUCGCUCUUUGAUCCUUCGAGGUCGGCUCUUCCUAUCAUUGCGAAGCAGAAUUCGUCAAGUGUUGGAUUGUUUACCCGGUUGUUUAAUAGGGAACGGAAGCUCGGUUUAGACCGUCGUGAGAUAGGUUAGUUUUACCUUAACAUUCAUAGUUGUUAUUUGACGGUAAUCCUGCUUAGUCGCUGUUGUGUUUGAGCACGAACCAGGUGUGUUUCAUUAUUUCUGCGCUGAUCUGUUAUGGUCUCGGAUAUGUUGAAAUGACCAUAUUAGCACAACGUGUCAGUUUUCUGAAGCCUAAUUCGUUUCCAUUAAGAAGGCUUACUGUCGGCCUCCUUUCCUAAUCUAAUGUACAUAGAAAAACAAUCUGACAUCUGACACACAUCCAGCCAACAUCUACCCCGUUCUUUAUGUUACUGAUUUCCUCUGAUGUUACUAAUGAAAUCGUCGAAAUC
rnacentral:rRNA from 1 species